rnacentral:rRNA from 1 species
AUCAUGGAGAGUUUGAUCCUGGCUCAGGACGAACGCUGGCGGCGUGCUUAACACAUGCAAGUCGAACGAGAGGACAUGAAAAGCUUGCUUUUUAUGGAAUCGAGUGGCAAACGGGUGAGUAACGCGUAAGCAACCUGCCCUGCAGAUGGGGACAAC